UACGGGAUGAGAUUUGCUGUGAUGGCUUCCAAAGCAGUUGUACGCUAAUCUAGCUUCGACUUUUGUGGGUAGUUUGGUCCGACCUCUUAGCUGAUGGUCCAGCACUACAAGCUAGCCGACACGAAUUGUUACCAAUACAAAGCACCACAUUUGUAUCUUGUAUGAAAAUAUUUUUUAUUGACCCCCAAUGAAAAAAAUGUGUGAAAUUAAUCUAGUAUUCAGAAUCCAAAUAUUAUGCCUUGACCAUUAUUGUGAGUCGUUCAAAAAAAAACUAAUUGCAAGCUGGACGAAUAUAAUAGUCUGGUAUUUUGGGCCAUUCCCAUGCAAUGGCAUAAUUUUUUUUAUCUAGUCCUUACCUUGCUCUCUAAAAUAGAAAAGUCCAUCGCCAUGGCAACUGGUGAAUUUUUAUUGUCAAAUAUAACCAUUUUUGUUCUAGAAUGGAAAUUUGCUGUGGAGGCCAUCGUAGCAGAUAGGUGGGCAUCAAAUUCAUUACUCUAAGCAUACUUUCCAAAGCUAUAGACCGACUCGUAAAACAAGAACCCAAUAGUACCAAGUGUAACACCGAAUUUUUUCUACCACUUCUGCAAUCUCUUACAUACAGUUCCUGUACGUAUGUGGAAAUGGCGAUCCUUAUCAAGUUCUUAUAGGAGAGCAAGCUAGCUCCUGUGUUUACGACCGAUCGCCGCGGGAACAUGAUAACUCGGCUUGUCAUAUUGAGCAUCACAGAGACUCAGUAUUUAAGCAAGAGUCGGUGCCGCCCGGCCUUUCACUGAGACUCUCCCUCGCAGAUUGUCCGCUACUUCGUACGAAGCAUAUCACUAUCCGCAACCUUUGGACGAGCCCAGUAGCUACCAGCUAAGCUACUCAUGACAACGAAGAACACCACUUCAAUCCCAUGGCAGCCGGUUGUAUGUACCGGAUUGACCCGAUGAAUUCCUUCACCACCUACACCACAUAGAUUGGAGAUCAAAGUUUCAGGCUGUGUGGUGCUUAUAGUUAUCCCGUGCCGGGCACUAUUUUGUACUUUUGAGUACCUAUGUAUGUACCUCUUUUGAUUUUUUUUUCGUGCAUCGUAUAUGUGAACCAAAUUCAGUUCCGACAGUAAAGUACCAAAUUUGUACCAUCGAA
rnacentral:sRNA from 1 species